rnacentral:lncRNA from 1 species
GACAGUGUUCUCUACCCAUUCAUUGAUCCUUUCAGCAAAUACAUGUGGCCUUAGCGUCCUGAAUUCUGACACUGGCCUAUGCAGUUCCCUAGAGUGGGUGCUGUGAAUAGAAGCAUCAGAGCCAUCAGAGGUUUCUGAUUUCUUGGCCUCACCUUCAGAACAGCUGAACAUCAGCUCUAGGAAGUGGGACCAAGCAACGUGUAUCUAUCUUCCCUGGCUUCCUGGGUGAUGCUUAUUCCCCGAGAUUGGCGACUCUGCCCCAGUGGAACAAGCAUGAGCAGGGCACAAGCACUCCUUGUCUCUGAGGAACUUCAAUUGCAUACUUCUUGCAACUUUGUGAUGAAAAAGCAGAGAUUUCUGGAUGCCCUCAAGGACUGGCUGAAAGGGAUUUCCAUGAUCAUGUGAUUCAAUACCAUUGCUUUGCAAAGGAGGAAGAGGAACUAAAGCUCAAAGAAGCAUCUCUGUUUAACCUAAGAAACAAUCCAGCAUUCCUUAAUCCAGUCACCUCCAAAAGCACAUGAAAAAAGUGAGGACAAUAAAGAUAUGCUGUUUGACAUCUUGCAGAAAACCAGCUGGUAAAGAAAAAAUGUGUAGAGCCCCAGCUCAGUCAUCACAGCACAGCUCAGCAGGGAAAUUGGAACAAAAUAGAAUAUGUACUUUUAAACUUCACAUAAAGAAAAAU